rnacentral:rRNA from 1 species
UACGUAGGGGGCGAGCGUUGUCCGGAUUUAUUGGGCGUAAAGAGCGUGUAGGCGGUUCGGUAAGUCUGUCGUGAAAUCCUGAGGCUCAACCUCGGGCGUGCGAUGGAUACUGCCGGGCUAGAGGAUGGUAGAGGCGAGUGGAAUUCCCGGUGUAGCGGUGAAAUGCGUAGAUAUCUGGAGGAACACCGGUGGCGAAGGCGGCAUCCUGGACCAACACUGACGCUGAGUGAGCGAAAGCCAGGGGAGCAAACGGG